UACGUAGGGGGCAAGCGUUAUCCGGAUUUACUGGGUGUAAAGGGAGCGUAGACGGCCGCGCAAGUCUGAAGUGAAAUCCCAUGGCUUAACCAUGGAACUGCUUUGGAAACUGUGCAGCUAGAGUGCAGGAGAGGUAAGCGGAAUUCCUAGUGUAGCGGUGAAAUGCGUAGAUAUUAGGAGGAACACCAGUGGCGAAGGCGGCUUACUGGACUGUAACUGACGUUGAGGCUCGAAAGCGUGGGGAGCAAACAGG
rnacentral:rRNA from 1 species